AAUAACUCCGCCAUAUUGACUUGCUGAUCGAGGAUGUGCCAAAAAUUCACUGGAGAACUUAGUAAAAUUUGAGUGUGACCUGAAACUUAUAGCAGUGACCGGGAAUUAGAGACAACCGGGAAUUAGAGAUGACCAGGAAUGAGAGACGACCGGGAAUUAGAGACGACUGGGAAUUAGAGACGACCGGGAAUUAGAGACGACUGGGAAUCGUAUUCACUGUUCCUUGUGUAUCAAUAAAGAGUGGACUGAUGGAGCAAAGAUAGAGUUUAUGUGGUAUAGUAUUCAUGUAAUAUCACCAUGUUCAUGUAGCUAUACUCUGUAUUUUUAGGUCACCUGAGUCACUCAGGAGACCCAUUGCUAUCUCACGUUUGUCGUCAUGUGUCAUUUGUAGACAUUUUAGUAUACAUCUCUUAAAUGCGUAUGAGGGCAGUAGUCAUUGUGUUAGUCCUGGGGUAAGAACUGUUGCCCGAGAGCAUAGGCCGAGGUCAACAUCAAUUUCUUACCCAGGAACAGACAAUAUAGCUAUUGCCCACAUUCCCAUUUGAUUAUUGAUGUGUUAGACGAGGAGACACAUAUCCUUGUGGUAAUGUCAGGGCUGGGAUAUUGUCCAAUUAUCUGCCCCGGGGACAGUCAAACAAUCAGCCAGGAUAAGUGGAUAGCCAAUCAUAUGUCAUAGACCAGUAGUUAAUAUAAAUGACCUCAUAAAUAAUUUGAAAAGUUCCCAUUUUACGUAUAUGUGAUAAUAGGUGUGAAUUAUGUUUUGUUAUAGUCUGUUUUCUAAAUGGGGUGAAGACGAAACUGCAUUUUACAUAUAUUUUAUAAAUUCAUUGUAGAUAAGAACUUACUAAAGAUAUGUGUCACAUUAAAAUAAGUUACUAACAAUAGGAUCAGACAGAAAGCAAAUCCUGGGCAAGCCCUGUUUUCUAAAAACAGACCUAAAACUAAGUUAUGAUGAUGUUAGAGAAAGGAACAAAGAAAACAAGAGUACAUGUUUAGCAGAGAAAGUCUGUGUGAGAGAGAGAGUAUACAUGUUUGGCAGAGAAAGUCUGCAAG
rnacentral:sRNA from 1 species